rnacentral:rRNA from 1 species
GAUGAACGCUAGCGGGAGGCCUAACACAUGCAAGCCGAGCGGUAUAGAUCUUUCGGGAUCUUGAGAGCGGCGUACGGGUGCGGAACACGUGUGCAACCUGCCUUUAUCUGGGGGAUAGCCUUUCGAAAGGAAGAUUAAUACCCCAUAAUAUUUAGAAUGGCAUCAUUUUAAAUUGAAAACUCCGGUGGAUAGAGAUGGGCACGCGCAAGAUUAGAUAGUUGGUGAGGUAACGGCUCACCAAGGCUGCGAUCUUUAGGGGGCCUGAGAGGGUGAUCCCCCACACUGGUACUGAGACACGGACCAGACUCCUACGGGAGGCAGCAGUGAGGAACAUUGGACAAUGGGUGAGAGCCUGAUCCAGCCAUCCCGCGUGAAGGACGACUGCCCUAUGGGUUGUAAACUUCUUUUGUAUAGGGAUAAACCUACUCUCGUGAGAGUAGCUGAAGGUACUAUACGAAUAAGCACCGGCUAACUCCGUGCCAGCAGCCGCAGUAAUAC